AAGUUUCUUAAUUACUUUAAAGGCAUCAGAUCCUGUCUUGUCUUGGAAGCUAUAAGUAGGGUCAAUCCGGCAAGUACUGGAAUGGGAGACCACCAAUGAAUACCUAGUGUUGCACUUC
rnacentral:rRNA from 11 species